rnacentral:rRNA from 1 species
AGAAUCAACGCUGGCGGCGUGCCUAACACAUGCAAGUCGCACGAGAAAGGGACUUCGGUCUUGAGUAAAGUGGCGCACGGGUGAGUAACACGUGAAUGAUCUACCCUCGAGUGGGGAAUAACUGAGAGAAAUCUUAGCUAAUACCGCAUAAUACCCACGGGUCAAAGCAGCAAUUCGCUUAAGGAGGGGGUCGCGGCCGAUUAGUUAGUUGGCGGGGUAAUGGCCCACCAAGACUAUGAUCGGUAUCCGGCCUGAGAGGGCGCACGGACACACUGGAACUGAAACACGGUCCAGACUCCUACGGGAGGCAGCAGUGGGGAAUUUUGCGCAAUGGGGGAAACCCUGACGCAGCAACGCCGCGUGGAGGAUGAAGUCCCUUGGGACGUAAACUCUUCGAUCGGACGAUAAUGACGGUACCGAGAGAAGAAGCCCGGCUAACUCGUGCCAGCAGCCGC